rnacentral:rRNA from 1 species
UAGGGAAUCUUCGGCAAUGGACGAAAGUCUGACCGAGCAACGCCGCGUGAGUGAAGAAGGUUUUCGGAUCGUAAAACUCUGUUGUUAGAGAAGAACAAGGACGUUAGUAACUGAACGUCCCCUGACGGUAUCUAACCAGAAAGCCACGGCUAACUACGUGCCAGCAGCCGCGGUAAUACGUAGGUUGCAAGCGUUGUCCGGAUUUAUUGUGCGUAAAGCGAGCGCAGGCGGUUUCUUAAGUCUGAUGUGAAAGCCACCGGCUCAACCGGGGAGGGUCAUUGGACAAUGGGAGACUUGAGUAAAGAAGAGAAGAGUGGAGUUCCAUGUGUAGCGAUGAAAAGCGUAGAUAUAUGGUAGAAAACCAGUGGCAAAGGCGGCUCUCUGAUCUGUAACUAAAGCUGAGGCUCAAAAACGUGGGGAGCAAACAGU